rnacentral:lncRNA from 1 species
AGGGCUACACCCGGAACAUAGGGAGGUUUCCAGGGGUUGAAUCGGAGCUACAGCUGCCUGCCUACACCACAGCCACAGCAACAUCAGGUCUGAGCCACAUCUGCAGCUUACUCCAUAGCUCAUGGCAACGCCAGAUUCCCAACCCAGUGAGUGAGGCCAGAGAUCGAACACGCAACCUCAUGGUUCCUAGUCGGAUUCGUUUCUGCUUCACCACGACGGGAACUCCCAAGCUUUUCCAUAACGUAAGAAAAUUUGAAAUUAUAGAAAAAAUGACUAAGACCUGAUUUUCUAUGAAAAUGCAUGUUAAAGGAGUCCUGAAAGGCUUUAACAAUUUAAUUUUUCUAAAUGGUAAAGAAUAUGCAGGGAGAAUACUGGUUGUACACAGAACCAAAGUCUAUGAAUACUCUGGAGUUGAGUGUGGAAUAUUUAGAGACUUCAAAUUACUUACUCUCUCUUUGCCACAAUCUGUGAAAAAUAUCACAAAACAGUAAGUAUUUGCUGAGAUAAGUAUCAUCCAAGUGUUUUUAGUCUACAAUAUACAAAUGUUCACUUAAAAAAACUGAAACACAUACACAAUAAUAAACCAAAAUUCAACUCCUGACUACCCGACCUAAUCAAAUAACUCACUUCCAAAGUUCAAACUAUUACAAUAUUGUUCUUGUAGAAUGGCAUUUUUAAACCUACAGAAUUAUGUAGUUAUAUAGUAAGGUUUUAAACCUAAACUGAGAGUAUGGCCAAAUUUUUUAAGGGGUAAUGAAAAGCAUUACUAAGUAUUAAUAGAUACAUUAAAUAGGGAUAGGGAGUGGGGGGAGUUUGUUUAAUUUGGUUUUGCUUUCUAUAUUGUUCCCUUUUUUUCAGAAUAGCAGUAGAAAAUCACAGUAUGGAAAGGCACAGUUCAAAAUGUUUUUGUUUAGAGAAAAAUGCACAUGCCUCAGCUAGCUACUACCACUUCCCCACUCAUAUUUGGAGAAAUUAAAAACCAAAUACAAAUCCAUUCUAUUUGAAGGCUAUUGCUAGUUUUAGAGCUGUUAUUGAAGGUUACCAGUGAUUUAGUCCAAGAUUACUUUACAAACUGGAAAACAGGAAGGUUGCAUGGCUUGUUAAAGGAUAAAAAAAUUAACUCAAUACUUCCACUAAGCCAACUUCUUCCCAACUUAAAUAUCAAAUCACAUUUGAUCUGUCAUAUGAAAAUUAAAAAAUAAAUUCGUUAAGAAACAUGAGUGAAAUACCCAUGGUUUAGUAACUCAGAAAGAGAAAAGGGACAGAAAUGCAUAAACACUGAUCUGUUCAUUUUGGUGAAUUUGAGUGGGGCUAUUUAAAACAUCCACAGAGCCUUAAGUUGACUCUUUUCCAAAAAGUAAAAGCCUUUUUGACAAAGCCUAUCAAAUAUAUCUCAUUACCAUAGACAGGUAAUAGUUUAUAUGCAUCAUCAAUUAUUUAGACAUGAAGAACAGCCUUAGUACUAUUAUCCACAAAAAUAAAUACACAAGUUGAGAUCUAAGCCAGAAACUGGGAAAUUAUUUUAGCCACAACACUAAACUUACAUAAAAUUGUAACUAAAGUCAGCACUUAUAUUCAUUUCACAGUAGAAAAGAAUUAGACAAAAAUAACAAAAAUACAGCUAGCCCAGACAACUGUCCAUACAAAUUAGUGUGAUGUGACACUGAGGUUAUGUCACAUAACCUCAAAUGUAACUUAAAUAAGAUUGAAAUACAAGUCCCUUUCUUCUGAACUACCUCUGAUGCCAAAAACGAAGAUGCAAAAGGAAUAAGUAGUUCCGAAUGUUGCACAGUGGGUUAAGAAUUCGAUAGCAGGAGUUCCCGUCAUGGCUCAAUGGUUAACCAAUCAAACUAGGAACCAUGAGGUGGUGGGUUCGAUCCCUGGCCUCCCUCAGUGGGUUAAGGAUCCAGCAUUACCAUGACCUGUGGUGUAGGUUGCAGACGGGGUUGGGAUCCAGUGUUGCUGUGGCUGUGGCACAAGGCUGGUGGCUGGCUACAGUUCUGAUUAGACCCCCAGCCUGGGAACCUCCAUAUGCCAAAGGUGCGGCCCUAAAAAGCAAAAAUAAAUAAAUAAAUAAAUAAAUAAAUAAAUAAAUAAAUAAUCCGAUAGCAGCAGUACAGGUCCCUAAGGAAGCCCAGGUUCAAUCUCCAGCCCAGCUCAGUGGGUUAAAAAGAUCUGGCAUUGUUGCAGCUGCAGCAUAGCUCACAGCUGUGGCUCAGAUGCAAUCCCUGCCCUAGGAGCUUCCAUAAACCAUGCAUGUAGCCAUUAAAAAAAAAAAAAAAAAAAGGAAUAACAAGAUCACUGCCUUGUGAAAUUUAACAUAGAGUUUUAUGAAAUACAUCACAUGCAUAAGCACUGUAUAUGCUGAAGUCUGCUUGAAAACACCCUUUUUAAAAAAAUAAUUCUUAUUAAUACAUGUAAAGUUUAAAAAAUAAGCCUUGCUUAUUGUUCUAUUUACUACCUUAAAAAUAGAUUUGCUUCGAUGUGAAAAACCUUCUGACAACCUAUCUUCCUCAAAAGGCUGCAUCCCAGAAAACACAAAUGGUAAGUUAAAUGGAUUCCAUAUUAAUAUUUAACUCUUUCUAAGUGCCAUAACAGUCAACAAGGUAGGUAUUCCUGCUAGGAGAAAACAUCUGUCAUAGUACAAGUUAGGAAAACAAAAAGUCACUCAAAGUUAUAGAAUAUAGGUCCUGCUAUAAAUAUCUAUAUUCCACUUAAGAUGCUAGACACAUUUUAACACAAUGAAAAGAAAAAAAUACAGAUAUCAAUUGCAAAUGAGAAAAAAGUUUCUUCAUUCUC